rnacentral:lncRNA from 1 species
AAACAUCAUCUUCGAAGUGGAUGGUCCUGUGACAGCCACUUGACUGAAGAAGAGUGCAGGAGCAUUGGCAGUGGUGUCUUACUGUCGAGUAGCCAUGGUAUUAUUAGGAAUGGGUCAAUGAAAUUUUGCGACUGAGAAGGAGAUUGAUGGGGAUAUAAAUAUUCUGAUGAGGGGAACACAUAGAGUUGGACGUUUCUAAUGAGUGGGUAAUGAUGGUUACUUGAAGAGCCAUCGGAAUCGUUGGUUAGGAGGGAUGCACGAAGCUUCGUCUUGAAGGGUGAUUAAAGAGCAUUGAAGGUUGGGCUCGGUUUUUUCAUUGAUGAAGAUACAGGCGUUAUUCCGGAGGAAGGAGAUAGACAAUCGAUUUCGGGAGCUUGAUGUCGGAGGAAGCGCCUAGGGUUCGCGAGGAAGAAGCUGCAAGAUGACUACUGAACCUCAAGAAAAAUAAUAAGAAUGGGUUUAAAACUUUGUUUGCUGCAAAAUGAAUGCUGAGCCGUGAUGACAUGGCAAAAUGAUUGGUGGAGAAUUUUUUUGCCUAUGUGGCACCCCUCUUUGGCUUUCAAAUUAGCUCCUUUUAUAUAGUAGAGAUUUGUUUGAUUGUUUUCAUAUCUAUUUCAACUAAGAACAGGAAAUAAAGGAAAUGACACCGGAGCUGGGAAUAUUCGCCGGUUACAGAGUCUCUACGGUGAUCUUGUCUUUGGUUUCCACCAUCUUCUUAUGAAAACAAUCAUUCGUGAUUGUCCGAUUUUUCGAUUGUUAAAC